rnacentral:rRNA from 1 species
CCCCUAGACGUUCUGGGCUGCACGCGCGCUACAAUAAUACGCACAGCGAGUAUCACCGAGCUCGAAAGGGCAAGGUAAACAAUAGAAAAGGUACUGUAAUGGUUAUAGAUCCUUGUAAUUAUUGAUCUUCAACGAGGAAUUCCUAGUAAGUAUGUGUCAUCAUCACGCACUGAUUACGUCCCUGCCCUUUGUACACACCGCCCGUCGCUCCUACCGAUUGGAUGGUCCGGUGAAGCCUCGGGAUUGUGGUUCUUGCCGCUUUAUUGUGGCGUGACCGCGAGAACUUGUCUAAACCUUAUCAUCUAGAGGAAGGUGAAGUCGUAACA